UUUCCGUAGGUGAACCUGCGGAAGGAUCAGUCUUGAUAACACAAGCUGAUGCUGCUGGAUGCGGCCUAUGCUGCUCAGUGCGCGUUGGGGAGGCUGUCGUGUCAAAAGCGAUGGUUUCUAAUCCCUUCUGUGGCCCAUGGUCACGUUAAUUGGCGCGAGGGCUUAUGCCCCGCCCCGUGCUUCACAUGUUCGAGUCGGGUGUGAAGCGUGUGUCCCUACCGAACAGCGGUUAAAUAUAUGGGACUUCACCGAUCGCUGGGAUGCCUCGUAUUGCACGAUGGCGUAAGACCCGCGAGGCCACGGCCAUACUAUCCAUAUAACUAUGAUGAAACAUACAGUUAAUUACAACUGGUAGCGUUGGAUCCCUCGGCAUG
rnacentral:misc_RNA from 1 species